rnacentral:rRNA from 1 species
UCAAGUGAAUAAGUGCAUCAGGCGGAUGCCUUGGCGAUGAUAGGCGACGAAGGACGUGUAAGCCUGCGAAAAGCGCGGGGGAGCUGGCAAUAAAGCUAUGAUUCCGCGAUGUCCGAAUGGGGAAACCCACUGCAUUCUGUGCAGUAUCCUAAGUUGAAUACAUAGGCUUAGAGAAGCGAACCCGGAGAACUGAACCAUCUAAGUACCCGGAGGAAAAGAAAUCAACCGAGAUUCCGCAAGUAGUGGCGAGCGAACGCGGAGGAGCCUGUACGUAAUAACUGUCGAGAUAGAAGAACAAGCUGGGAAGCUUGACCAUAGCGGGUGACAGUCCCGUAUUCGAAAUCUCAACAGCGGUACUAAGCGUACGAAAAGUAGGGCGGGACACGUGAAAUCCUGUCUGAAUAUGGGGGGACCAUCCUCCAAGGCUAAAUACUCAUCAUCGACCGAUAGUGAACCAGUACCGUGAGGGAAAGGCGAAAAGAACCCCGGGAGGGGAGUGAAACAGAACCUGAAACCUGAUGCAUACAAACAGUGGGAGCGCCCUAGUGGUGUGACUGCGUACCUUUUGUAUAAUGGGUCAACGACUUACAUUCAGUAGCGAGCUUAACCGGAUAGGGGAGGCGUAGGGAAACCGAGUCUUAAUAGGGCGAUGAGUUGCUGGGUGCAGACCCGAAACCGAGUGAUCUAUCCAUGGCCAGGUUGAAGGUGCCGUAACAGGUACUGGAGGACCGAACCCACGCAUGUUGCAAAAUGCGGGGAUGAGCUGUGGGUAGGGGUGAAAGGCUAAACAAACUCGGAGAUAGCUGGUUCUCCCCGAAAACUAUUUAGGUAGUGCCUCGAGCAAGACACUGAUGGGGGUAAAGCACUGUUAUGGCUAGGGGGUUAUUGCAACUUACCAACCCAUGGCAAACUCAGAAUACCAUCAAGUGGUUCCUCGGGAGACAGACAGCGGGUGCUAACGUCCGUUGUCAAGAGGGAAACAACCCAGACCGCCGGCUAAGGUCCCAAAUGAUAGAUUAAGUGGUAAACGAAGUGGGAAGGCACAGACAGCCAGGAUGUUGGCUUAGAAGCAGCCAUCAUUUAAAGAAAGCGUAAUAGCUCACUGGUCGAGUCGUCCUGCGCGGAAGAUGUAACGGGGCUCAAAUCUAUAACCGAAGCUGCGGAUGCCGGUUUACCGGCAUGGUAGGGGAGCGUUCUGUAGGCUGAUGAAGGUGCAUUGUAAAGUGUGCUGGAGGUAUCAGAAGUGCGAAUGUUGACAUGAGUAGCGAUAAAGCGGGUGAAAAGCCCGCUCGCCGAAAGCCCAAGGUUUCCUACGCAACGUUCAUCGGCGUAGGGUAAGUCGGCCCCUAAGGCGAGGCAGAAAUGCGUAGUCGAUGGGAAACAGGUUAAUAUUCCUGUACUUGAUUCAAAUGCGAUGUGGGGACGGAGAAGGUUAGGUUGGCAAGCUGUUGGAAUAGCUUGUUUAAGCCGGUAGGUGGAAGACUUAGGCAAAUCCGGGUUUUCUUAACACCGAGAAGUGAUGACGAGUGUCUACGGACACGAAGCAACCGAUACCACGCUUCCAGGAAAAGCCACUAAGCUUCAGUUUGAAUCGAACCGUACCGCAAACCGACACAGGUGGGCAGGAUGAGAAUUCUAAGGCGCUUGAGAGAACUCGGGAGAAGGAACUCGGCAAAUUGAUACCGUAACUUCGGGAGAAGGUAUGCCCUCUAAGGUUAAGGACUUGCUCCGUAAGCCCCGGAGGGUCGCAGAGAAUAGGUGGCUGCGACUGUUUAUUAAAAACACAGCACUCUGCCAACACGAAAGUGGACGUAUAGGGUGUGACGCCUGCCCGGUGCCGGAAGGUUAAUUGAAGAUGUGCAAGCAUCGGAUCGAAGCCCCGGUAAACGGCGGCCGUAACUAUAACGGUCCUAAGGUAGCGAAAUUCCUUGUCGGGUAAGUUCCGACCCGCACGAAUGGCGUAACGAUGGCCACACUGUCUCCUCCCGAGACUCAGCGAAGUUGAAGUGGUUGUGAAGAUGCAAUCUACCCGCUGCUAGACGGAAAGACCCCGUGAACCUUUACUGUAGCUUUGCAUUGGACUUUGAAGUCACUUGUGUAGGAUAGGUGGGAGGCUUGGAAGCAGAGACGCCAGUCUCUGUGGAGUCGUCCUUGAAAUACCACCCUGGUGUCUUUGAGGUUCUAACCCAGACCCGUCAUCCGGGUCGGGGACCGUGCAUGGUAGGCAGUUUGACUGGGGCGGUCUCCUCCCAAAGCGUAACGGAGGAGUUCGAAGGUUACCUAGGUCCGGUCGGAAAUCGGACUGAUAGUGCAAUGGCAAAAGGUAGCUUAACUGCGAGACCGACAAGUCGGGCAGGUGCGAAAGCAGGACAUAGUGAUCCGGUGGUUCUGUAUGGAAGGGCCAUCGCUCAACGGAUAAAAGGUACUCCGGGGAUAACAGGCUGAUUCCGCCCAAGAGUUCAUAUCGACGGCGGAGUUUGGCACCUCGAUGUCGGCUCAUCACAUCCUGGGGCUGUAGUCGGUCCCAAGGGUAUGGCUGUUCGCCAUUUAAAGUGGUACGUGAGCUGGGUUUAAAACGUCGUGAGACAGUUUGGUCCCUAUCUGCAGUGGGCGUUGGAAGUUUGACGGGGGCUGCUCCUAGUACGAGAGGACCGGAGUGGACGAACCUCUGGUGUACCGGUUGUAACGCCAGUUGCAUAGCCGGGUAGCUAAGUUCGGAAGAGAUAAGCGCUGAAAGCAUCUAAGCGCGAAACUCGCCUGAAGAUGAGACUUCCCUUGCGGUUUAACCGCACUAAAGGGUCGUUCGAGACCAGGACGUUGAUAGGUGGGGUGUGGAAGCGCGGUAACGCGUGAAGCUAACCCAUACUAAUUGCCCGUGAGGCUUGACUCU